AGUGAACGCUGGCGGUAGGCCUAACACAUGCAAGUCGAACGGCAGCACAGUAAGAGCUUGCUCUUACGGGUGGCGAGUGGCGGACGGGUGAGGAAUACAUCGGAAUCUACUUUUUCGUGGGGGAUAACGUAGGGAAACUUACGCUAAUACCGCAUACGACCUACGGGUGAAAGCAGGGGAUCUUCGGACCUUGCGCGAUUGAAUGAGCCGAUGUCGGAUUAGCUAGUUGGCGGGGUAAAGGCCCACCAAGGCGACGAUCCGUAGCUGGUCUGAGAGGAUGAUCAGCCACACUGGAACUGAGACACGGUCCAGACUCCUACGGGAGGCAGCAGUGGGGAAUAUUGGACAAUGGGCGCAAGCCUGAUCCAGCCAUACCGCGUGGGUGAAGAAGGCCUUCGGGUUGUAAAGCCCUUUUGUUAGGAAAGAAAAGCAGCUGGUUAAUACCCCGCUGUUCUGACGGUACCCAAAGAAUAAGCACCGGCUAACUUCGUG
rnacentral:rRNA from 1 species